UGGGGAAUAUUGGACAAUGGGCGCAAGCCUGAUCCAGCCAUGCCGCGUGAGUGAUGAAGGCCCUAGGGUUGUAAAGCUCUUUCACCGGUGAAGAUAAUGACGGUAACCGGAGAAGAAGCCCCGGCUAACUUCGUGCCAGCAGCCGCGGUAAUACGAAGGGGGCUAGCGUUGUUCGGAUUUACUGGGCGUAAAGCGCACGUAGGCGGACUAUUAAGUCAGGGGUGAAAUCCCGGGGCUCAACCCCGGAACUGCCUUUGAUACUGGUAGUCUUGAGUUCGAGAGAGGUGAGUGGAAUUCCGAGUGUGGAGGUGAAAUUCGUAGAUAUUCGGAGGAACACCAGUGGCGAAGGCGGCUCACUGGCUCGAUACUGACGCUGAGGUGCGAAAGCGUGGGGAGCAAACAGG
rnacentral:rRNA from 1 species